AAAACUUAAACUAGGAUCAAAGUUAUCGGUCAGUGACUAAAUCGAAAAAUCGCGCCGCGUUGCCAUGAAUCGCGCCGUUGGGCCAUGAAACUAUAUAACGUUCUCUAAAGUUGGAAACAGUUUGAAAGUCAAUUAACAAUAAAAUGUUACUCACACGUUAAAUUGAUUGACAAGAAAUUAGCUUAAUAAUAUCCUCCUUUCAAUUGAAAUGGGGUCUGGUUAGGAAGGCAUUCGAGAGCCGUUUAAGAUCUACGACGCGACCCAGGCUCGACGACGCGCUUUCGAAACAAAGAAAUUUGUCAUGCAAGACAAAAACUGUGAAUAAUUUGUGGUUUCAGACCCAGGGUAUUCACAACGGCUUUGUCAUUCUCAACACAACGUUAAACUAAACAUCACGUCUUUCAAGCAACGUGAAAGCUUAUUGCUACCAGAGCUGCCGAGAGAAUUCCGGAGGGGCCCGGGGCAAUCUUCUCUGGGGGCCCCAUGACAUCAUUAUUUUUAAGCCAGACCCAAGUCAGUCACCCAAAUAGACCUUAACUAGACUGCAUGUGGAGCUACUGCAAG